CAGCGUCAUCAGUGGCAACAG
rnacentral:miRNA from 2 species